GACGAACGCUGGCGGCGUGCCUAAUACAUGCAAGUUGAGCGCUGAAGGUUGGUACUUGUACCGACUGGAUGAGCAGCGAACGGGUGAGUAACGCGUGGGGAAUCUGCCUUUGAGCGGGGGACAACAUUUGGAAACGAAUGCUAAUACCGCAUAAAAACUUUAAACACAAGUUUUAAGUUUGAAAGAUGCAAUUGCAUCACUCAAAGAUGAUCCCGCGUUGUAUUAGCUAGUUGGUGAGGUAAAGGCUCACCAAGGCGAUGAUACAUAGCCGACCUGAGAGGGUGAUCGGCCACAUUGGGACUGAGACACGGCCCAAACUCCUACGGGAGGCAGCAGUAGGGAAUCUUCGGCAAUGGACGAAAGUCUGACCGAGCAACGCCGCGUGAGUGAAGAAGGUUUUCGGAUCGUAAAACUCUGUUGGUAGAGAAGAACGUUGGUGAGAGUGGAAAGCGCAUCAAGUGACGGUAACUACCCAGAAAGGGACGGCUAACUACGUG
rnacentral:rRNA from 1 species